GAGACAAGGAAAUGCUGUCACCGCGGUUAACACGCACGUGGAGGUUGGUUAAAGGGAAGACCUGGGUUUUAGUCCUGUCUCCAUCAACCUCAAGAAAUGGGACCUCAUGGAAGGGAGGGGAGGCAAUGCCGAGGAUGUGCUCCUGAGCAGGUGCCACAAUUCUUCACCUGUAAGGCCUCUCCAGAGGCCCAAACUUUAAUAGAAUCUGAGAGAAAAAAGUGGCCAGUCUAUCUGCUGUCCAGAGUGAUGCCAAACUCUUUCUCCCGGAGCCAGUUCUCCCCGUUGGGCAGUCAGGAAACAAUAAGUGAACAAGAAGUAACCUCAGAAGAAGAAAGAACUUUGGGAGAAUGCACUGAGAAAGGCCAGACUGAGUCCCCUUGGAUGAAGUUAAUUAAGAAACAAACA
ensembl:lncRNA SP2-AS1 SP2 antisense RNA 1